CAAAAUGGAUAAACAUCAUCAUAGGAUGCUGUUCUCAGAAAACAGACAACAAUCAUAAACCUUUUUGAAAAUCCCAGUUACAUAUCCACUGAGGCUCUGGGUCCUCAGCCAUCCCUCAGACAAUUCCCUGGUUUUUGAAGAAAUAAAGAACUGCUUUGAUUUUUUUUAAAUGUACCAAAAUACCCUGUGAAAAUGCUUAUGGAAAACAUUGUGCAUGAAACUAUUCUCACUCAGAAAGAGACAACUGUGAAAACUCCUGCCAUGCAAAGGAUCAGAGAAUGGGAAAGUAAGGAACAGUACAUUGGUAACAAAAGAGGAAGCUGGAAAAGGGAACUUCACAAUAUAAUCUUCUUUUUUUUUUAAGUUUUACAACCUAUAACAGUAUGGCUUUCCCCACUGGGCUCAAGAGCCUGGGCCUAAGUCAGCCUUGAUUACAGGACAAGCCCCAUGUGGGUUGCGUCAGGUGCUUCCCAUAUAAAAAGAGCAGGCAGUAGCAGUGAAAGGGGGAAGUAUGGGAGACUGCAGUUCUAUUUGUAGAGCUUUUAGGGCAUAAGAAGGUUCUUACAGGCCACUGAGUCAGCAGGGGAAAAGCUGAAGAAGCAAGAGUGGGAGAAAGCUCCCCAGGUGUAGGGUGGCCUGGGAGAGACCUUGUCGUGGCAGGAGAGAGCCUAUGAAGGCCAACUGGGCUUCCCUCAUUAUCCUAGAGGCACUCCUUGACCCAUUCCAUUGUCACUUGGCAUUCAGGAGAGAAAUGAAGCAUCCCCUGCUCUCUGACUGGAAACUGAUUAGGUUGAGCCACUCCAAAAAGCAGCACUUUGAACUUGUCUAGCCUCUUAAAAACCUCACUGAACUGAACCUCACAACAUCUUUGGGAGCUCCAUUUGAAGUGUCAUGACGCUUCACCUGAGUGGAUCAAAGCACCUGGCUCUGCUGCAAGAUGGCAUGCUAUGGUCAACCCGAAUAGUGAUGAGAGGAAGAAGGCAAUUUAUUAAAAGCUGGGGAAGAAGUACCUAGCAAGCA